rnacentral:rRNA from 1 species
ACACGGACCAAGGAGUCUGGCAGGCAAACAAGUAUUUGAGUGCAAAACCCAAAUGCAAAGCGAAAGCAAAAAAAUUGCAGCAAUGCAAAUAAUUGAGCGUUCCUUUUUUUGCAAAAGGAUAGGCAGAAGUUUGUCUGCCGGGACCCGAAAGAUGGUGAACUAUGCCUGAGUAGAGUGAAGUCAGGGGAAACCCUGAUGGAGGCUCGAAGCGUUGCUGACGUGCAAAUCGCUCGUCAAACUUGGGCAUAGGGGCGAAAGACUAAUCGAACCAUCUAGUAGCUGGUUCCCUGCGAAGUUUCCCCCAGGAUAGCAAAGGCAACGCAGUUUGAUUUGGUAAAGAUAAUGAUUAGAGGAACUCGGGAUUUUAUAUUCUGGGCCUAUUCUCAAACUUUGAACGAGUCAUAGGGGUGGUUUCUUCACUGAACCACCCCAUAAAUGCUAGCCUUUAGUGGGCUGUUUUUGGUAAGCAGAAACGGCGAUGCGGGUUAAACCGGACGCCAGGUUAAGGUGCCUAAAGAUUGCUAAAAUAGAUUUGAAAGGCGUUAGUUCAUUAUGACAGCUGGACGGUGGUCACGGAGGUUGAAAUCCGCUAAGAAGUGUGUCACAACUUACCAGUCGAAUGAACUAGCCCUUAAAAUGGAUGGCGCUAAAGCAGUCUACCGAAACCUGGCCAUUUUGGUAUAUUCUGCCAAAAUGAGUAGCAGGGCAUGGGGUUUGUGUAGAAGCGUAGAUGUGAAUUUGCGUGAAACACUCCCCAGUGCAGAUCUUGGUGAUAGUAGCAAAUACUUGAAUGAUAAAUUCGAGGGCUGAAGUGGAGAAAGGUUCCAUGAGAACAGUAUUUGGUCAUGGGUUAGUCGAUCCUAAGACUACACGUAAAAAAUUCCAAAAUGGUCUAAACCCAGUGUAGUCGAAAGGGAAUCGGGCUAAUAUUCCCGAACCAAAACCCCUAAUUGGCAACAGUUCUUCUUCAAAGACGUUUGUAGCUGCAGCGAGAAGAGUCUUCUCUUCUUUUUAACAGGUGGUUUUCCUUGCAAACAGAUUGUCUGGAGGAAAGGAAAACUGUCUGGAAUAGCAUUGAAUUUUUAUCAAUGUUCGCAAAGCAGUUAUAAACACAUAAAAAUUUGAAGAAAUUGGGGUUUUGAUCGUACUCAUAACCGCAUCAGGUCUCCAAGGUGAACAGCCUCUAGCCAAUGGAAUAAUGCAGGUAAGGGAAGUCGGCAAAUUUGAUCCGUAACUUCGGGAAAUGGACUGGCUCUUGGGACUGGGUGAUGGCGAAGCCUCGUUUGUAUCCCCCUAGAUUGAAAUGAUUCUUUGAAUCAGAUCAUUUUGGUGAGGACGCAUUCUUUGUUUAGCCGCACAUGUAUCAGUCUGCCAAGAACUGAAACGGACAAGGGGAAUCCGACUGUGUAAUUACAACAAAGCAUUGCGACGGUCAUAACUGAUGUUGACGCAAUGUGAUUUCUGCCCAGUGCUCUGAAUGUUAACGAAAUGAAAAUUUCUGAAGCGCGGGUUAACGGCGGGAGUAACUAUGACUCUCUUAAGGUAGCCAAAUGCCUUGUCAUUUUAUUGGUGACGCGCAUGAAUGGAACAACGAGAUUCCCACUGUCCCUACCUGCGAUCCAGCGAAACCACAGCCAAGGGAACGGGCUUGGGAUUAUCAGCGGGGCAAGAAGACCCUGUUGAGCUUGACUCUAGUCUGACACUGUGCGAUAGCUCUGAGGAUGUAGCGUAAGAGGGAGAGCUUUGCUCGCCAAUGAAACACCUCUGCUUCGGACGCUGUUGCACUUACUCAGUUCACAACUGCAACUGUGCUAUGCACUUUAUUUUAAAGCGAAAGACUGGUAUUUAUAUCGGUCAAUGUUUGCCGGAGACAAUGUCAGGCCGGGAGUUUGGCUGGGGCGGCACAGCUGUAAAACAAUAACACAGCUGUCCCAAGAUUAGCUCUGUGAGAACAGAAAUCUCACUUUGAGUAGAAGGGCAAAAGCUAAUUUUAUUUUGAUUACCAGUAAUAAUACAAACUGUGAAAGCAUGGCCUAUAGAACCUUUAGUGGUUAGAAUUUAACGCUAGAGAUGUCAGAAAAGUUACCACAGGGAUAACUGGCUUGUGGCAGCCAAGCGUACAUAGCGACGUUGCUUUUUGAUUCUUCGAUGUCGGCUCUUCCUAUCCUUGCCUUGUAUUCGGGGCAAAUGGUAAGAUUGUUCACCUACUAACAGGGAACGUGAGCUGGGUUUAGACCGUCGCGAGACAGGUUA